rnacentral:ncRNA from 2 species
CGCCGUUCUCAGGGCGGGGCGGAAUUCCCCACCGGCGGUAAGCGGGCCAAGCCCCGCAAGCCCGCGAGCGGCUUCCGGAAACCGGAAGUGUCAGCAGAUCUGGUGCAACUCCAGAGCCGACGGUCACAGUCCGGAUGGAAGAGAACGUGC